CUUCGAGCCGAUAUCGAGGAAGAGCGCCGUGAUAUGGAACAAUUUCGUGAAGAGGAGCGCGACCGUGCAGAGCAAGCGUUGCAUGAUGUCGAAAUGGAACGCAAAUUACGGAG
rnacentral:rRNA from 1 species